GUGCAUGUGGCCACUAGUUAAUAUUGAUGAAUCUCAGCUUUUUAGUCAUUUAUACCUCAUAGUGUUCCUGCUGAUAAUUGAAGUAAUGAAAGUAAAAGUGCUUGGUUAACUGUAAAGUGUGUGAGAGUGUUAUGGUAAUGCUGCCUUAUUAUUAGUGGUUGUAAUGAAACUAGUAAUUUCUUAAGUUGUGUGAUUCAUUUAUUCAUUUUUUUACCUUGAGGUGCUGCUGCAUUUAUGUGGUUUGCCCUUUAUUAAAUUAAAUAUCUGGCUUAUUGGAUUUGGGGGAGAGGUGAAUGUGAAGAGGGGAAAAUGAUUCUGCUAUUUUCAUCAGAAUAAGCCAAUUGAUAUUGGAUAUUUUUGCUUGCUGGAGUCCUGAUUUUCUGUGUGUAAAUAUAUAUAUAGAUAGGUAUAGCAGGUAGUUGAUCUCAUCUUCAUUCUGUUAUUAGGUUGAAUGAUUGUAAAUAUUCUUUGGGUUCUUCUAAUUUUUUGUAGUGGUAUUUGUGUGCUUUCUCUUUAUCAUUGUUAGCCAGACAUUUUUGGUGACGUCAUUCCUGUUUUUCCUUACAAAUGAAAUUAAUUUGUAAUUUAUAAUUAGAGCAUUGAGAAUGUCAGUGCAAUAGUUUGAAACUAUUCUUUGUUCUUUGUGUAUAUAAUGUGAAUAACUGUUUUUCCCCCUCUCAAAUCUCUUAAGAACGCAUGCCUACUGAACCUUUUGAAGCAUUAGAGUAAAUACCGUAUUAGGAAAGCAGACUAGUACUAAGUAUUUAGCUGCAGUAGCAAAGUAAGGAAAAUGAAUCACAGAGCUAUGAAUUUGGAAAAUGAUUGUUGUACAUUGAAAGAACCCUUGUAAAAUCUAGUUACUGAUAAGUGCUUGUGAAGUCUGCUGAUUAAUCUCAUAUUAAAAAGCUGCUUUCACAUAAAAUUCUUUUUUCUUCUAAAAACAUACUAAAACUCUAGAAACUGGAAUUGUGCUACCCUGAAUCCUCAGGUGGUUUUUUCAUAUCAGGCAAAUAAUUAAAAAUAUGACAAAGACAACUCAUAGCUAGAACUUAUUUAUAAAACUUACAUUUAUAAUAUAAAACGUAACUUCUAGGAAAUCUGCAUAUCCUGGUCAAGAUAUGUCCCUUUGUAAUUUUUGAUGGUUUUAAUGAUGAUUGUUAAGCUAAGGCACAUGUGUCAAAUAUGAUUUAUGUUCAUUAUGUUGACUGUUUCUA